CAAUUGUGAAAUUGGCUCACCCAUUUGUCACCAAGACUCCAGUUGGCACCAAAUCCCUGUUGAGAGCUUCCAAUGACCAACGACGCAAGUUUUGGGAGGACUUCUUAUUUGUUAAGUCGUGUACGAAAAUAAUACUCUGACAUCCACUGAGCAGCCCACAGUCCAUGAUGGAUUUCCCAGCACUUGAUUUUGGCAUAGGAGAUGGACUAAUGAAGAUUUCCCAACACCUGUA
rnacentral:lncRNA from 1 species